CGCACAUUGCGCCCCUCGGUAUUCCGAGGGGCAUGCCUGUUCGAGCGUCAUUUCACCCAUCAAGCCACGCUUGGUAUUGGGCGCCUGGCCGGGGUCCCCCCCCGGCCCGCCUGAAAUGCAUCGGCGAGGCACCGACCCCCGGCGUGUUAGAAUUUCGAAACGUCAGGAGCACCGGUGACCCUCAGUGCCGUGAAACCUUUACCAUUUCCAAAGGUUGACCUCGGAUCAGGUAGGAAUACCCGCUGAACUUAA
rnacentral:misc_RNA from 1 species